GGAGCGGUAGUUCAGUUGGUUAGAAUACUGGGUUGUCAUUCAGGGGGUCGCGGAUUCGAGUCCCGUCCGCUCCGCCA
rnacentral:tRNA from 1 species